rfam:Pelecanus crispus contig48130, whole genome shotgun sequence.
AUAUGAUGAAACUAAACCAAAAAUUGCUGGAAUUACCGGCAGAUUGACUGGUGGUGAGCAAAGGUUUUUCUGAUG